rnacentral:rRNA from 1 species
GUUGAACGCUGGCGGCAUGCCUUACACAUGCAAGUCGAACGGUAACAGGUCUUCGGAUGCUGACGAGUGGCGAACGGGUGAGUAAUACAUCGGAACGUGCCCAGUCGUGGGGGAUAACGCAGCGAAAGCUGUGCUAAUACCGCAUACGAUCUACGGAUGAAAGCGGGGGAUCGCAAGACCUCGCGCGAUUGGAGCGGCCGAUGGCAGAUUAGGUAGUUGGUGAGGCAAAGGCUCACCAAGCCUGCGAUCUGUAGCUGGUCUGAGAGGACGACCAGCCACACUGGAACUGAGACACGGUCCAGACUCCUACGGGAGGCAGCAGUGGGGAAUUUUGGACAAUGGGCGCAAGCCUGAUCCAGCAAUGCCGCGUGCAGGAUGAAGGCCUUCGGGUUGUAAACUGCUUUUGUACGGAACAAAAAAGCUUCUUCUAAUACAGGAGGCUCAUGACGGUACCGUAAGAAUAAGCACCGGCUAACUACGUGCCAGCCGCCGCAGUAA